CAGCAGUGAGGAAUAUUGGUCAAUGGGCGGAAGCCUGAACCAGCCAAGUCGCGUGAGGGAUUAAGGCCCUGCGGGUCGUAAACCUCUUUUGCCGGGGAGCAGAGGUCCGGACGUGUCCGGGCCGGGAGAGUACCCGGAGAAAAAGCAUCGGCUAACUCCGUGCCAGCAGCCGCGGUAAUACGGAGGAUGCGAGCGUUAUCCGGAUUUAUUGGGUUUAAAGGGUGCGUAGGCGGGCAUUUAAGCCGGCGGUCAAAUGUCGGGGCUCAACCCCGGCCUGCCGUCGGAACUGGGUGCCUUGAGUGGGCGAGAAGUAUGCGGAAUGCGUGGUGUAGCGGUGAAAUGCAUAGAUAUCACGCAGAACCCCGAUUGCGAAGGCAGCAUACCGGCGCCCUACUGACGCUGAGGCACGAAAGUGCGGGUAUCGAACAGGAUUAGA
rnacentral:rRNA from 1 species